GAAUACCAGUGGCGAAGGCGCCUUGCUGGACAGUGCCUGACGCUGAGGCGCGAAGGCGUGGGGAGCAAACAGGAUUAGAUACCCUGGUAGUCCACGCGGUAAACGAUGAGUGCUAGGUGUCGGAGGGUACCACCUCCCGGUGCCGAAGGGAAACCCAAUAAGCACUCCGCCUGGGGAGUACGGUCGCAAGACUGAAACUCAAAGGAAUUGACGGGGGCCCGCACAAGCAGUGGAGCAUGUGGUUUAAUUCGAAGCAACGCGAAGAACCUUACCAGGACUUGACAUCCUCCUGACGGGAGUAGAGAUAUUCCGUCCCUUCGGGGCAGGGGAGACAGGUGGUGCAUGGUUGUCGUCAGCUCGUGUCGUGAGAUGUUGGGUUAAGUCCCGCAACGAGCGCAACCCUUGAUCAGUGUUACCAGCACGUAAAGGUGGGGACUCACUGAUGACUGCCGGUGAUAAACCGGAGGAAGGCGGGGAUGACGUCAAAUCAUCAUGCCCCUUAUGUCCUGGGCCACACACGUGCUACAAUGGGCGGUACAACGGGAAGCAAGAGAGCGAUCUGGAGCGAAACCCUAAAAGCCGUUCGUAGUUCGGAUUGCAGGCUGCAACCCGCCUGCAUGAAGCCGGAAUUGCUAGUAAUCGCGGAUCAGCAUGCCGCGGUGAAUCCGUUCCCGGGCCUUGUACACACCGCCCGUCACACCACGAGAGUGGAUCACACCCGAAGUCGGUGGGGUAACCGCAAGGAGCCAGCCGCCGAAGGUGGGAUUCGCGAUUGGGGUGAAGUCGUAACAAGGUAGCCGUA
rnacentral:rRNA from 1 species